GGCCGUGUGGUGUAGUGGUAGCAUACUUGCUUUGGGUCGUGAGAUUUCAAUCUGCAAGUGGUCCCAGGUUCAAGCCCUGGCUCGGCCC
rnacentral:tRNA from 2 species